rnacentral:rRNA from 1 species
UAAGGCUGAGGCGUGAUGACGAGGCACUACGGUGCUGAAGCAACAAAUGCCCUGCUUCCAGGAAAAGCCUCUAAGCAUCAGGUAACAUCAAAUCGUACCCCAAACCGACACAGGUGGUCAGGUAGAGAAUACCAAGGCGCUUGAGAGAACUCGGGUGAAGGAACUAGGCAAAAUGGUGCCGUAACUUCGGGAGAAGGCACGCUGAUAUGUAGGUGAAGCGACUUGCUCGUGGAGCUGAAAUCAGUCGAAGAUACCAGCUGGCUGCAACUGUUUAUUAAAAACACAGCACUGUGCAAACACGAAAGUGGACGUAUACGGUGUGACGCCUGCCCGGUGCCGGAAGGUUAAUUGAUGGGGUCAGCGCAAGCGAAGCUCUUGAUCGAAGCCCCGGUAAACGGCGGCCGUAACUAUAACGGUCCUAAGGUAGCGAAAUUCCUUGUCGGGUAAGUUCCGACCUGCACGAAUGGCGUAAUGAUGGCCAGGCUGUCUCCACCCGAGACUCAGUGAAAUUGAACUCGCUGUGAAGAUGCAGUGUACCCGCGGCAAGACGGAAAGACCCCGUGAACCUUUACUAUAGCUUGACACUGAACAUUGAGCCUUGAUGUGUAGGAUAGGUGGGAGGCUUUGAAGUGUGGACGCCAGUCUGCAUGGAGCCGACCUUGAAAUACCACCCUUUAAUGUUUGAUGUUCUAACGUGGACCCGUAAUCCGGGUUGCGGACAGUGUCUGGUGGGUAGUUUGACUGGGGCGGUCUCCUCCUAAAGAGUAACGGAGGAGCACGAAGGUUGGCUAAUCCUGGUCGGACAUCAGGAGGUUAGUGCAAUGGCAUAAGCCAGCUUGACUGCGAGCGUGACGGCGCGAGCAGGUGCGAAAGCAGGUCAUAGUGAUCCGGUGGUUCUGAAUGGAAGGGCCAUCGCUCAACGGAUAAAAGGUACUCCGGGGAUAACAGGCUGAUACCGCCCAAGAGUUCAUAUCGACGGCGGUGUUUGGCACCUCGAUGUCGGCUCAUCACAUCCUGGGGCUGAAGUAGGUCCCAAGGGUAUGGCUGUUCGCCAUUUAAAGUGGUACGCGAGCUGGGUUUAGAACGUCGUGAGACAGUUCGGUCCCUAUCUGCCGUGGGCGCUGGAGAACUGAGGGGGGCUGCUCCUAGUACGAGAGGACCGGAGUGGACGCAUCACUGGUGUUCGGGUUGUCAUGCCAAUGGCACUGCCCGGUAGCUAAAUGCGGAAGAGAUAAGUGCUGAAAGCAUCUAAGCACGAAACUUGCCCCGAGAUGAGUUCUCCCUGACUCCUUGAGAGUCCUGAAGGAACGUUGAAGACGACGACGUUGAUAGGCCGGGUGUGUAAGCGCAGCGAUGCGUUGAGCUAACCGGUACUAAUGAACCGUGAGGCUUAACCUU